UACGUGGGGGGCGAGCGUUGUCCGGAUUUAUUGGGCGUAAAGAGCUCGUAGGCGGUUCGGUAAGUCGGAUGUGAAAUCUCCACGCUCAACGUGGAGGGGCCAUUCGAUACUGCCGUGACUCGAGUCCGGUAGGGGAGUGUGGAAUUCCCGGUGUAGCGGUGAAAUGCGCAGAGAUCGGGAGGAACACCCGUAGCGAAGGCGGCACUCUGGGCCGGUACUGACGCUGAGGAGCGAAAGCGUGGGGAGCGAACAGG
rnacentral:rRNA from 1 species